rnacentral:rRNA from 1 species
CAGUCGCGUUAGCUAGAAAUCAGCCUUGCUUUUGCUUGGUGUACUUUCUGGUUGAUGGUCAGCAUCAAUUUUGACCGGUGGAAAAAGGUCAGGGGAAUGUGGCAUCUUCGGAUGUGUUAUAGCCUCUGGUUGUAUACAUCGGUUGGGAUUGAGGAACUCAGCACGCCGCAAGGUCGGGUUUUUAACCACGUUCGUGCUUAGGAUGCUGGCAUAAUGGCUUUAANCGACCCGUCUUAGAAACACGGACCAAGGAGUCUAACAUGUAUGCGAGUGUU